AGCGAACGCUGGCGGCAGGCCUAACACAUGCAAGUCGAACGAACCUUUCGGGGUUAGUGGCGGACGGGUGAGUAACACGUGGGAACGUUCCUUUAGGUUCGGAAUAACUCAGGGAAACUUGUGCUAAUACCGAAUGUGCCCUUCGGGGGAAAGAUUUAUCGCCUUUAGAGCGGCCGGCGUCUGAUUAGCUAGUGGGUUGAGGUAAUGGCUCACCAAGGCGACGAUCAGUAGCUGGUCUGAGAGGAUGGUCAGCCACAUUGGGACUGAGACACGGCCCAAACUCCUACGGGAGGCAGCAGUGGGGAAUCUUGCGCAAUGGGCGAAAGCCUGACGCAGCCAUGCCGCGUGAAUGAUGAAGGUCUUAGGAUUGUAAAAUUCUUUCACCGGGGACGAUAAUGACGGUACCCGGAGAAGAAGCCCCGGCUAACUUCGUG
rnacentral:rRNA from 1 species